CCUACGGGGGGCAGCAGUGGGGAAUCUUGCGCAAUGGGCGAAAGCCUGACGCAGCAACGCCGCGUGCGGGAAGAAGGCUCUCGGGUUGUAAACCGCUUUCAGCAGGAACGAAAAUGACGGUACUUGCAGAAGAAGGUGCGGCCAACUACGUGCCAGCAGCCGCGGUGACACGUAGGCACCAAGCGUUGUCCGGAUUUAUUGGGCGUAAAGAGCUCGUAGGCGGUUCGGUAAGUCAGGUGUGAAAACUUUGGGCUUAACCCAAAGCCUGCAUCUGAUACUG
rnacentral:rRNA from 1 species